CACCUUCUCCCUCUUGCGCGCCGCCGUUCCUCCCCUUUUCCCCUUUUUCUUCUUCAACAGCGAGCUCCACCGUCACAUGUGCACCAUGGCGCCGGCGAACAUGAGCACCCCUCGCUGAGCUGACGACACCCAAAGAUGCGCCUCGUCGAGCUCUACAUCCUGGUGCAAGGAAUUGUCCCCGCACGCUUCGAAUCAUCGCCAAAUUCGCGGAUUCCUAUCUCCGGCCGUCGCGCUCCGGCGAGAAUUCCGGCCGCCUCUGUUCUCCCCCGACCUCUCUGACCACAUCAGUGUGUUCCUAGAGUUCACCGCCGGCGACGUUCCGGUGCUCGUUUGGAUUCCGGGCCACCACCAUCAGGUUCACUGCAUCAAGGCGCACGUAGCGCACCAUCGUGCUCGUCCCGGUUCGCCCGUAACCGUCGUGGCCGUUCUCGCCUUCUUUCGCCGCCAUAGCCACAGAGUUUCGCCUCUGCUUCUUUUAGCUGGUCGCGAUCCUGCUUCGUGUUGGGUCAAAAGAACCGCGGCCUCUUGCUAAAACAUGAACCUGUCAUAGCCCAGGUUGGGUGCACGUUGCAUCUGCUGCUGAACCACCCAGCAGCACUGCCCAGAUGGUUUGGGUCGCUGAAUAUUCACUAUGAGGUGCUGGGUUCAAUUCCACCUGGGCGCACCUUUUUCGCCAUUCCGAUCCGUCGAUGCAGCCCAUCGCCUGCGCCUCUCGGUCGCUGUUUCAGCCCAGGUUCUGGCCCAGUUUCGCUGCUCCUCUCCAACAACGUUGCAGCAUAUGCUUCUUCCCGGAUAGGAUCGCGAAGUGGUGUUGUGAGAUGCG